rnacentral:lncRNA from 1 species
CAGCACUCACUCUAGCCUGGCAACAAAGUGAUACUCUGUCUCAAAAAAAAAAAAGAAAGAAAGCUUGAAAACCACUGCCUUCAUAGAGCAAGUGUAAAAACUCACAUUUCAAAUUUGUUACACUCUAAAAGUAGGGCACAUCUGUUAAAUACUUUUUUUAAAAAACUCAGGUAAAUUUUUUUCUCUCAUGUAGGUAUUGAAUUUUCUCUGCCUUUAGUAAAAGAAAAUGGCCGUAAGAAGAGAACAUCUGGAGCAAGCUUGGGAUACGGGGAGGAACAAGUAAUCAGUGAUGAGGAUGAAGAGGAAAGUUUUUCCUGGCUGGAAGAAAUGGGUGUGCAAGAUAAAAUUAAAAAACCAGACAUACUUUCUAUCAAGCUACGUAAAGAGAAACAUGAAGUACAAAUGGAUCACAGACCUGAGUCUGUUGUGUUGGUGAAAGGAAUCAAUACCUUCACAUUGCUCAAUUUUUUGAUCAACUGUAAGAGUUUAAUUGCUACCUCAGGUCCACAGGCAGGACUGCCACCAACCCUCUUAGCUCCUACAGCUUUCCGAGGUGCCACAAUGCAAAUGCUUAAGAGCGGAUCUUUCUGCGUAGGACUGUAUCCACAUGACCCAACUGCUGUAUUUAAUAUCUGCCUGCCAGUGGACAAAGUACUGCAUAAGGUAAGUAGACACCCAUAAACAUACUAUUUUAGUUGUAGUUUCCUCAAAUUAGCUGGAGGAAGUGGGUCAUUCCAUUUUGUUUCAAGUUAUAGAACUGUUACUACUUAAUUUUAUCAGUUACGAAUUACUAAGAGGAAUGUCUUCUAUACCUAAUUUUUGUGAGAUAAAUUUUAUUCAGUCCUUUGUACUUGUAGUAGUGACUACAGAACUUCCCGAACUCGAGACAGUAUUUUUCAUUGUCCUCUCAGAUCCAAAAUAAUAAGUUCCUGAUUGCUUUGUAAUUUAAGGAAACCUGAUUCACUAUGGGUAUUUACUUUAUUUGCCUUCAAUUUUGAAGUUUUUAUUUAGAGUUAUACCUAUUAAGACUGAAAAUUGCCUCAUACUUACCAGUUUGGUAGACUUAUUUUAAAAGUAACCAACAUCAGUAUUUUGGGAUUUUUGUCACUGCAGAAAUUCUUAGGAUCAACUUCUAUCAAUAGGAUGAGUUAUGGGAAUGAGCCAUUUAUUUGUCAAAGUCUCCAUGGUAAUAAAACUCUCGAGUGUUCAAAGACUAAUAAUGUGCUUUUUACUAAACAGGAGGUUGUUCAUAAGGAGCUUGCUAACUGUGGUUUACACCCUAAGACUCUGGAGCAACUUAGUCAAAUACCAU